rnacentral:rRNA from 1 species
UACGGAGGGUGCGAGCGUUGUCCGGAAUCAUUGGGCGUAAAGGGCGCGUAGGUGGCCCGGUCAGUCUUUGGUGAAAGCGCGGGGCUCAACCCUGCGUCGGCCAGGGAUACUGCCGCGGCUCGAGCACUGUAGAGGCAGGCGGAAUUCCGGGUGGUAGCGGUGGAAUGCGUAGAGAUCCGGAAGAACACCGGUGGCGAAGGCGGUCUGCUGGGCAGUUGCUGGACACUGGAGGCGCGGACAGCGGUGGG